rnacentral:rRNA from 1 species
CCUACGGGUGGCAGCAGUGAGGAAUAUUGGUCAAUGGACGAGAGUCUGAACCAGCCAAGUAGCGUGAAGGAUGACUGCCCUACGGGUUGUAAACUUCUUUUAUAUGGGAACAAAACAGGGCAUGCAUAGGCUCUUGUAUGUAACAUAUGAAUAAGGCACGGCUAACUCCGUGCCAGCAGCCGGGGUAAUACGGAGGAUCCGGGCGUUAUCCGGGUUUAUUGGGGUUUAAGGGAGCGUAGGUGGAUAGUUAAGUCCGUCGUGAAAGUUUGGGGCUCAACCGUAGAAGUGCAGUUGAAACUGGCAGUCUUGAGUACACUAGAGGUGGGCGGAAUGCGUGGUGUAGCGGUGAAAUGCUUAGAUAUCACGAAGAACUCCGAUUGCGAAGGCAGCACACUGGACUGCAACUGACACUGAUGCUCGAAAGUGUGGGUAUCGAACAGGAUUAGAUACCCCGGUAGUC